AGAAUCAACGCUGGCGGCGUGCCUAACACAUGCAAGUCGAACGAGAAAGUGGAGCAAUCCAUGAGUAAAGUGGCGACCGGGUGAGUAACACGUGACUAACCUACCCUAAAGUGGGGAAUAACUCCGGGAAACCGGGGCUAAUACCGCAUAAAAUCGUCGUUUCUAAAGAAGUGACGAUCAAAGCAGCAAUGCGCUAUGGGAGGGGGUCGCGGCUGAUUAGCUAGUUGGCGGGGUAAUGGCCCACCAAGGCGAAGAUCGGUAUCCGGCCUGAGAGGGCGCACGGACACACUGGAACUGAAACACGGUCCAGACUCCUACGGGAGGCAGCAGUGGGGAAUUUUGCGCAAUGGGGGAAACCCUGACGCAGCAACGCCGCAUGGAGGAUGAAGCCCCUUGGGGUGUAAACUCCUUUCGACCAAGACGAUAAUGACGGUACUGGUGGAAGAAGCACCGGCUAACUCUGUGCCAGCAGCCGC
rnacentral:rRNA from 1 species